UUCCAGGUAUAUCUGUAUUGUUUUAACAACCACUUGAACUUCCUGCAGUACUUUGUUCCAGACCCACCACUUGCUCCGAAAAGCAUCAAUCACACACCAGUUCUGAUGCUCCUUUGUAUAACGUGGAGGAAAAAGACGGUCAAGAACAUCACUCUCUUCUACUUGAAUAUAAACUGCAACAUCAGGACAAAGUCCUCGUUCUGACAAAUACUGGACUUCAUCUGAAGUACGAGGGAAACCAUCCAGUAUAAAUCCUGUUGACCUAAUUGGAAAAUAAGAUAUUUAUCAUUACACGAUGUAGUUUAAAGCACAACACAAGGAAAAUGCAGUUAAUUUGAAAAAAAAACACCAAAA